CUAGUGUAGGAGUGAAAUCCGUAGAUAUUAGGAGGAACACCGAUGGCGUAGGCAGGGUACUGGCUCAUUUCUGACACUAAGGCACGAAAGCGUGGGGAGCGAACGGGAUUAGAUACCCCGGUAGUCCACGCCGUAAACUAUGGAUGCUAGCUGUUAUCGGUAUCGACCCCGGUAGUAGCGAAGCUAACGCGUUAAGCAUCCCGCCUGUGGAGUACGGUCGCAAGACUAAAACAUAAAGGAAUUGACGGGGACCCGCACAAGCGGUGGAGCGUGUUGUUUAAUUCGAUGGUAAACGAAGAACCUUACCCAGGUUUGACAUCCUUGGAAUUUCUACGAAAGUAGAGAGUGCUUUAUUGAGCCAAGUGACAGGUGAUGCAUGGCCGUCGUCAGCUCGUGUCGUGAGAUGUUUGGUUAAGUCCAUCAACGAGCGCAACCCUUAUGUUUAGUUGAAUUUCUCUAAACAGACUGCCCUGGUAACAGGGAGGAAGGAGGGGAUGAUGUCAGGUCAGUAUUACCCUUACAUCUGGGGCUACAAACACGCUACAAUGGCCGGUACAAAGGGCAGCCAAGUCGCGAGACGGAGCAAAUCCCAUCAAAGCCGGUCUCAGUUCGGAUUGCAGGCUGAAACUCGCCUGCAUGAAGUUGGAAUCGCUAGUAACGGUAGGUCAGCACACUACCGUGAAUACGUUCCCGGGUCUUGUACACACCGCCCGUCAAACCAUGAAAGUCGCCAAUACCUGACGUGCUAGCUUGUCUAGUCCUAAGGUAGGGGAGAUGAUUGGGGUUAAGUCGUAACAAGGUAUCCGUAC
rnacentral:rRNA from 1 species